GUAACAUUCCUGACUGACACAGGAUGUGUUACAGCGGCUGUGGCAGAGUGACACAGAUGAAGGCAACAUUCCUGACUGACACAGGAUGUGUUACAGCGGCUGUGGCAGAGUGACACAGAUGAAGGUAACAUUCCUGACUGACACAGGAUGUGUUACAGCGGCUGUGGCAGAGUGACACAGAUGAAGGCAACAUUCCUGACUGACACAGGAUGUGUUACAGCGGCUGUGGCAGAGUGACACAGAUGAAGGCAACAUUCCUGACUGACACAGGAUUGUACAGCGCUUGUGGCA